CUGAAGCGGGCCAACCUUCACUGCAUGAUCCCUAUUAUAUACUGAUACUGGACUGCCGCUCUGCAGAGAGAUAUAAGCAGAGUCACCUGGUCACAGCCCGUGCCAGUGUGACGGUGAUGCAUCCAGAACUGGGCUGUUUGAUAAGCUGUGUUCAGCUGCAGGAGUUUUCUAUAAUACUGCUAUACGCUGAAGAAGGCCAAAGUCCAGUUGGCAGUCAGGAGGCACGCGCUGACUCUCCUACUCUCCAGCACUAAGGGUAACUAACUAGUGUGUGUGUAUACAUGUGCAGAUAUAAGCAGAGUCAUCUGGUCACAGCCCGUGCCAGUGUGACGGUGAUGCAUCCAGAACUGGGCUGUUUGAUAAGCUGUGUUCAGCUGCAGGAGUUUUCUAUAAUACUGCUAUACGCUGAAGAAGGCC
rnacentral:lncRNA from 1 species